rnacentral:lncRNA from 1 species
GGGCCUCUAAUGGUGCAAGUAACAGAAAGAGAAGAGCGAUCUUUGAUUGUUCAGAUGAUGAUGAUGAUGAUGAUGAUUUUGUAGCCAUUGCAUCUCCAGAGCCACUAAAACAGCGUGCCAGAAAUCCUGUCAUUGAAGCUGCACAAGACAAUAUAUCAGAACAGAAUAAAGUGGAAAGCAAACAGGAUACAGUGAGCGAUGUGAAGGGCGUCACAAAAGGGACUGAUUCUGAGUUUACCUCUGAAUGCAAAACUAGCAGUGACAAUGCUAUCAACCCUUCUGGGAUCACCUUAAAAGAAAAGGCUAAUGAGCCACCAAUCGAUGAAAAUAAGAAGGAUCAUGCUGCCGAGACAGCUUCCACCUCACCUAAAAGAAGGAAGGUCUUGAAGACACGUAUAGAUGAGCGGGGGAGAGAAGGUAGAGUUAAACUGUAUCCCAUGAAAC